GAAUGUAUAAAAUAUAUAAAAACAUAUGUAUGUGCGCUUAUUUAUAUCGGUUUGCCUUUCCUUCUCCAUUUCUCACCUUUCAGCGUCUAAUCAAAGCUCUCCGUGUUCCCUUUGCUUCAGGUAAUAUUUGAACGAAUUGAUUAUUAGUACCAUGGGAUCCGUUGUUGAUGCUGCAAACAAGGAGGUAAAUGGAACCUCAAGUGCAAAGAAACCAAAUGUUAUUUUUGUUCUGGGUGGUCCAGGCAGUGGGAAAGGUACACAGUGUGCCUAUAUCGUUGAGCAUUUUGGUUACACACAUCUCAGUGCUGGAGACCUUCUCAGGGCUGAGAUUAAAUCAGGUUCUGAAAAUGGAACUAUGAUCCAGAAUAUGAUCAAAGAAGGGAAGAUUGUACCUUCUGAGGUGACAAUCAAGCUUCUCCAGAAAGCAAUUCAGGAGAACGGGAAUGACAAGUUCCUCAUUGAUGGGUUCCCUCGCAAUGAGGAGAACCGAGCAGCAUUUGAAAAAGUUACUGAGAUUGAACCAAAGUUUGUCUUGUUCUUUGAUUGUCCUGAGGAAGAGAUGGAGAGACGCUUAUUAGGACGUAACCAGGGGAGAGAGGAUGACAAUAUUGAGACUAUAAGGAAGCGUUUCAAGGUGUUUCUUGAAUCUAGCUUACCAGUGAUUCAGUACUAUGAAGCUAAGGGGAAAGUUAGAAAGAUUCAUGCCGCAAAGCCCAUUGAAGAUGUGUUUCAGGAGGUGAAGGCAGUCUUUUCUCCUGAAGCUGAGAAGGUUGCAGCCUAGGCAGCAGCAUCAGUAAAGAGAUAUCCAGAUUAAUUGAUCAGGUAUGUAUGUUUUAACAGUCAAUGAUAAUCAUUUUCCAGCUCAUGUUCUGAUGUAUAAAAGUAAAAAUUUAACUAGAGAAUCUGGAAUAAAGGCUGUGGAAGCUGAUGCUUUGUUAUAUCAUAUCUAUAGUAUAUAGUUCUGUAGAAUCUUUAGGACAGAAGGGGAGUAUGUAAGUGAUGAUUAUUAAUGUCAGCUUUGUUUAAAAUUUUACAGGUUGCUGGGCAGUGGCAUCUUUACUAGGAAGUCCAUGCUUGGCCGUAUUUUUUUCUUCUAUAUAACCAUAUGAUUACUGUUAUUAUUGUAAUGUAAUACACAUUCUACCUUUUUUUUGUGCAACUUAAUACAUAUUCUACCUAUAUUAUAUAAUUUUUGUUUUUGUUUUGGUAUUUGGUGGGAUUUGUGAGAUUGGCUUUCUGUAAUAAUUUCAUUAAAAUUUUGAAUUCAUGGGA